rnacentral:tRNA from 1 species
GGUGGGGUGGCCGAGUGGUUUAAGGCGGCAGUCUUGAAAACUGCUGUACCGGAAACGGUACCGUGAGUUCGAAUCUCACCCCCACCGCAA